UGCCAAUACAGUAGUGCAUUCAUAUAAUGCCGGAGGAAAUUACCAAAUUGUUUCGUAAAAUGUAUAGAUUUUCUUAAUUUUAGAAAGAGCGUGCCGGGUCUAUUUCUCUUGUUCUGCCUAAUCUCUGGCUCACUUUCCGUCCUCCUCCAGCCCGACCGGGAGCUAUGCGUCCUCAGCCGAGCUCAGCCGUUGUAGUUCCCAACUGAGCGAAGAGUACGGCGAGCGAGAACUUUACGACGAGAACGACUUGUACCACUCCUGCCACUCGUCCGUGGCCUACGGAGGUGGACAUAUUCGAGGGCGAGGAGGACUUCAACUACGUCAAUGAAGAUUUGGAUAUGGUGGACGGGGUCCAAGAGCUUCCGUUCACCCCUACACCAUCCAGCACCGCCCCAACGCUGGACGUCCCAUCAGCCACCAGACCUCCUCUGGAGAAACAGACCUCGCUUCACCAACAGUCUCAAAACACCAGCCAACCUCUAGUUCAACCGUCCAAUCAGACACAACCCAAACCCCCAAACCAACAAGUUCCCACCCCCCAGAAACAAGCACCACCCCAACAGCAGUCCUCAGGCCCAAUCCCUUCGGUUCAGUCCUUCUUCGCCAUGGCUAAGCCGUUGACUGCUGUGUUUGGAUUGGGUGGAUCUACUCCUUCAACACCGACAACUCAAUCCCAACCUCCACCUACUCAAUCCCAGCCUCAGAUGGCUCGACCUCCACAGAUGCCUCCACCUGCAACCAAAUCCCCUGAGCUUCCCGCUCCUGCCCCAACAACCAACUCCAAACCUCCCGCACCAGAACCUAAACCUCCAACCCCGACCGAGGAGAAACCGCCCACGGUAGAGCCACCAAUAGAGGAGGAACCUCCACUUCAAGAAGACGACUUUCACAUGGAAGAACCUCCAAAUGAGGAAACAAAGAUUGAGAGUCCACCUCCAUCUCCUCCUUUUGAAGAGGAGGAACCGGUACCUGAACCUGAGAGUGAACUGGUGAAGGAGGAGCCGAAGGAGCCGGUGGAUCCGGCGGUCAGAGCUAAAGAGAACUGGUUACGACUCUUUGAGAAAGUCCGACAGCAAUUGCAGGAGGUGAUACUUACAUUUCUGUAGCAAGUCUACACUAUUACUGGACCUAGAAAGAGUUUAUUAUGUUGAUUUAUAUCUUGUUUUAUGCACAGAUAUUCAUAUUGCUCUUGUUUCGUAAAGGAGUGUGUAGGAAAGUACAAAUCACAGCCACAGAAUGAUUUAAAUCGUAAUGAAUUCAGGAAAUCAGAACUGACCCAGUUUACGUCCUGAAUACAUUCCUGGUGUUUUCGUCCACGCUAUUUCACGUGAAAAAAGAUGCUUGUCUUUGUAAUCUUUCACUUAAAUCGAAUCUCCACGAUCACUGCAAACCCACGUUCAUUUUCUCUCAAGUUCAUUCAGAAAUGUGUCACGCUAUGGAAGUAAAAUGGGUUGCAAACACUGUUUUUAUAUUUUCAUACACAUUUUCCUCGGUGCUUAUAAUGCGAUGAGAAACCAUGCUAAUGCUAACGGCACUCUAACCGCUGUCAUGAUUAUUUUGCAGUUUGCCACGUCCUCUUUCACGACUCUUUAUCUUUUUGUUGUCUGUUUGUAUCCCGCCGUUUUGUCGUCUUUCCAGUCUCUUUUCAUUGCUUUAGCGAUUUGCAUGUUCGCUCAGAUGACCCAUGAUUGGACGAGACUGUCAGGUGGGUCCGUUGUUAGUGGUGUGAACGUUCUGUGGUGGUUUUGUGUGAGUUUCUGACCUGUGUAAAAUAUAAGCUGAAAUAGCCUUAGCCACUCUUCACAAAUUACAUUUCAUUUUUUUAUGUAAUUGCAAACAGGACAAAAUCACUGCAUCCCAGCUAAAAGAACGUUUUGCUAAUGUUCCCAGAAUGUUUUAAUGAAACCUUAUUUCUGAAUGUUCUCUGAAUGUUCAAAAUGUCCAGUUUUUAAAUAAAAAAUAAAUAAAAAAUUUAAUUUUUUUUUAAAUAAUGCAAGCUAUCUGAAUGUUAAAAACUUCCAACUUCCAACAACUUUUUUUGUUGUUUUGGUUAUGCAAACAUUAAAGGGACAGUUCUUUCAGACAAAUACAAUCGGAGUUAUAUUUAAAACUGUCCUGGCUCUUCCAAGCUUUAUAAUGGCAGUGAAUGGGUGUUUUUUUUUUUUUCAACAGUCCAAAAGAAGUCAAAUAAAGUGCAUCCAUCCAUCAUAAAAAGUGUCCCACACGGCUCCGGGGGGUUAAUAAAGAAGUGAAUCAAUCAAUGCGUUUUUGUAAGAAAUAUCCAUUUUUAUACCUACGU
rnacentral:lncRNA from 1 species